GAUUCCUACGGGAGGCAGCAGUGAGGAAUAUUGGUCAGUGGGCGGGAGCCUGAACCAGCCAAGUCGCGUGAGGGAUGACGGCCCUAUGGGUUGUAAACCUCUUUUGCCGGGGAGCAAAGUGCCGCACGUGUGCGGUUUGGAGAGUACCCGGAGAAAAAGCAUAGGCUAACUCCGUGCCAGCAGCCGCGAUCAUACGGAGGAUGCGGGCGUUAUCCGGAUUUAUUGGGUUUAAAGGGUGCGUAGGCGGACGCUUAAGUCAGCGGUCAAAUUGAGGGGCUCAACCUCGUCGAGCCGUUGAAACUGGG
rnacentral:rRNA from 1 species